rnacentral:rRNA from 1 species
UACGUAGGGCGCAAGCGUUAUCCGGAAUUAUUGGGCGUAAAGAGCUCGUAGGCGGUUUGUCGCGUCUGCCGUGAAAAGUCCGGGGGCUCAACUCCGGAUCUGCGGUGGGUACGGGCAGACUAGAGUGAUGUAGGGGAGACUGGAAUUCCUGGUGUAGCGGUGAAAUGCGCAGAUAUCAGGAGGAGCACCGAUGGCGAAGGCAGGUCUCUGGGCCACUACUGACGCUGAGAAGCGAAAGCAUGGGGAGCGAACAGG